GGUUAAGCGACUAAGCGUACACGGUGGAUGCCCUGGCAGUCAGAGGCGAUGAAGGGCGUGCUAAUCUGCGAUAAGCGCCGGUAAGGUGAUAUGAACCGUUAUAACCGGCGAUACCCGAAUGGGGAAACCCAGUGUGACUCGUCACACUAUCAUUAACUGAAUCCAUAGGUUAAUGAGGCGAACCGGGGGAACUGAAACAUCUAAGUACCCCGAGGAAAAGAAAUCAACCGAGAUUCCCCCAGUAGCGGCGAGCGAACGGGGAGGAGCCCAGAGCCUGAAUCAGCAUGUGUGUUAGUGGAAGCGUCUGGAAAGGCGCGCGAUACAGGGUGACAGCCCCGUACACAAAAGCGUAUGUGCUGUGAGCUCGAUGAGUAGGGCGGGACACGUGGUAUCCUGUCUGAAUAUGGGGGGACCAUCCUCCAAGGCUAAAUACUCCUGACUGACCGAUAGUGAACCAGUACCGUGAGGGAAAGGCGAAAAGAACCCCGGCGAGGGGAGUGAAAAAGAACCUGAAACCGUGUACGUACAAGCAGUGGGAGCACCCUUUGGGGUGUGACUGCGUACCUUUUGUAUAAUGGGUCAGCGACUUAUAUUCUGUAGCAAGGUUAACCGAAUAGGGGAGCCGGAGGGAAACCGAGUCUUAAUUGGGCGUUAAGUUGCAGGGUAUAGACCCGAAACCCGGUGAUCUAGCCAUGGGCAGGUUGAAGGUUGGGUAACACUAACUGGAGGACCGAACCGACUAAUGUUGAAAAAUUAGCGGAUGACCUGUGGCUGGGGGUGAAAGGCCAAUCAAACCGGGAGAUAGCUGGUUCUCCCCGAA
rnacentral:rRNA from 1 species